UUACGGGAAUAGCUCAGUCAGUAGAGCAUGAGACUCUUAAUCUCAGGGUUGUGGGUUUGAGCCCCACGCUGGGCAAAA
rnacentral:tRNA from 1 species